ACCCGCUGAAUUUAAGCAUAUCAAUAAGCGGAGGAAAAGAAACCAACAGGGAUUGCCCUAGUAACGGCGAGUGAAGCGGCAACAGCUCAAAUUUGAAAUCUGGCCUUCUGGUCCGAAUUGUAAUUUGUAGAGGAUGCUUUUGGUUAGGUACCUUUCGAGUUCCUUGGAACAGGACGCCUUAGAGGGUGAGAGCCCCGUACGAUUGGAUACCGAGCCUCUGUAAAGCUCCUUCGACGAGUCGAGUAGUUUGGGAAUGCUGCUCUAAAUGGGAGGUAAAUUUCUUCUAAAGCUAAAUACCGGCCAGAGACCGAUAGCGCACAAGUAGAGUGAUCGAAAGAUGAAAAGCACUUUGAAAAGAGGGUUAAAUAGUACGUGAAAUUGUUGAAAGGGAAGGGCUUAUGACCAGACCUUUGCCUUGCGGAUCAUCCGGUGUUCUCACCGGUGCACUCCGCUUGGUUGAGGCCAGCAUCAGUUUUGGCGGCCGGAUAAAGACUUCAGGAAUGUGACUCCUCCGGGAGUGUUAUAGCCUGCUGUGUAAUACGGCCGCUGGGACUGAGGACCGCGCUUCGGCUAGGAUGCUGGCAUAAUGGUCAUCAGCCACCCGUCUUGAAACACGGACCAAGGAG
rnacentral:rRNA from 1 species